rnacentral:rRNA from 1 species
AUUGAACGCUGGCGGCAGGCCUAACACAUGCAAGUCGAACGAGUGGCGGACGGGUGAGUAAUGUCUGGGAAACUGCCAGAUGGAGGGGGAUAACUACUGGAAACGGUAGCUAAUACCGCAUACCAUCAGAUGUGCCCAGAUGGGAUUAGCUUGUUGGUGGGGUAACGGCUCACCAAGGCGGAGAUCCCUAGCUGGACUGAGAGGAUGACCAGCCACACUGGACCUGAUACACGGUCCAGACUCCUUCGGUAGGCAGCACUGGGGAAUCUUUGACAAUGGGCGCAAGCCUGAUGCAUCCAUCCCGCGUGUAUGAAGAAGGCCUUCGGGUUGUAAAGUACUUUCCGCGGGGAGGCGUUACCUGCAGAAGAAGCACCGGCUAACUCCGUGCCAGCAGCCGCGGUAAUUC